rnacentral:rRNA from 1 species
CAAUAGCGUAUAUUUAAGUUGUUGCGGUUAAAAAGCUCGUAGUUGGAUUUCUGUCAAGGACAACUGGUCCGCCCUCCGGGUGAGCACAUAGUUUGGUCUUGACAUCUUGCUGGAAGCUGUUGCUGCACUUGGCUGUGUGGCGCAGUGUUCAGCACUUUCACUUUGAGGAAAUUGGAGUGUUUCAAGCAGGCACAUGCCUUUGGACACAGUAGCAUGGAAUAAUUAGAUUGGGCUUUUGCUCCAAUUUGUCGGUUUCUGGAGCUGAGGUGAGUAUUAAUGGGGAUUGUUGGGGGCAUCCGAAUUUAGCCGUCAGAGGUGAAAUUCUUGGAUCUGCUAAAGACGGACAACUGCGAAAGCGUUUGCCCAGGAUGUUUUCAUUG